CAGGCUUUAGAAGGAGUGUGGGAAAACCCCGCCCCCACCUCGCGGCCAGGUAGACGUCACCUGGGUCCCCCCAGCCCCCUACCUGGGGGAUAUAUGUGGCCAGGAACGCAGAUACCCGACACACGAAAACACCUCGGCGAGCGGGGCACGGGGAGAGCGUGGGAACAACAGAGUGAACCUCUGAUUGCAGGCAAGUAUUUUGGAGAUGACAGAACGUGUUAUCGUCAAACGACCACAGGUAUAAUUACUACAAAAUAGGUAAUUUUUGCCAUUUUCACUUCUGUGAAUAAACUUCAAGUUUUUCUUC